GAAGCGAAAACAACAUAAUUUUAAAGAGAGAGUGGAAUAAGAUAGACAUAUUUCUUUGGAAGUCGAGUGUUUAUGGAAUAUAAAGCAUCGUACUGGUUGUAAAUGUGAACAGAAUGAGAUUCUCGAUGGAUUCAAGUUUUAGUUUCGUACUUACUUUUUACAUCGUGAUGAUGGCUGAUGCUGUGAAUAUAUCGUUAAAGAGAGUUGUACCAGCUGAAACAUUACACUGUUAUCAUUGUUUUGAUGUAGAGAUGAAUUGUGUUACCAUGUUAAACAUUACAUUUAUACCAACGGAAGAAUGUACAUUAGAUCAACCAUACUGUAAUGUUGAGAGACUCGAAACUAAUGGUAAAGUGACUAGAUUAAAACGUGGUUGUUCCAGUGAAUGUAAAGCUGGGUGUAAAAAGACAUUACAUUUUACAAAAUGUCGUUCGUGCUGUAUAAGGAGCUAUUGUAACUUGGAUAACACUGCUCAACAGUGUAGAUCACGUGAUAUAUACCUCAUAACAGUUUUACUUGCCAUGUUUGUGUGUGUGGCCUAGUACUCGGUGGACGCACAUUUCCCAGUGGGCAUUUCGGUAUUGGAUAUUUCGGCUGGGACGCUUCGGCCAGUGCACAUUUCGAUCUAGGACGUUUCGGCCCACGGAGGUUUCGGCCAAUUUUAUAAAAAAAAAUGUUUUUAAAGCAUUUAAAGAGAACACCACGUCCAGAAACUUGCACAUUCCGAUGGUUGGUGCAUGGACGAUGACUAGAAGAAAACA